UCCACUACCAGCCUUCCCUCUGUGCUGGGUAAUUAUCUGUUAAUGACAGCACCCCAGGUCUUAUCUUGAGAUUCAGCUGCCAUGGAGGUAUGAGCGGACCAAGCCCAGAGCCUCCCUCUCAUUUACUAAGCAAGUACACCCACUGAGCUACACUCCUAGAGCCUAAACAACAUCAAGAGACUGGCUGUUUCUGUCCUGGGAAGGGCUCUCUUCACCUUCUGGAAUUGCUCUCAUGCAGCCUGCCUCAGCAUGAGGGGUGUGGUUCUUGCCACUCGCAGAUUGUUUGUUUGGAAGUCUGGGGACCCUGGGUAUAAAUGCAAGAGCCCCAAGAGGGUCUGUGGUGGCUGCUGCUGGUUGCUGGAUUGCUGGUUGCUGGAUUGCUGGAUUGCUGGAUUGCUGGAUUGCUGCUGGUUGCUGGAUUGCUGGAUUGCUAGAUUGCUGGAUUGCUGGAUUGCUAGAUUGCUGGAUUGCUGGAUUGCUGGAUUGCUAGAUUGCUGGAUUGCUGGAUUGCUGCUGGUUGCUGGAUUGCUGGAUUGCUGGAUUGCUGGAUUGCUGGAUUGCUGGA